GGGCUGGCUUUAGCUCAGUGGUUCCUUCGUCUACUGAAUCAGACCUAGUCACCAAUUCGUUGGUGGUUCGAGGCCCACGGGUGCUUUUCCAGUCCUUUU
ensembl:vault_RNA Vault Vault RNA